AGGAAUCACAUACAAGGGUAUCCAUCUAUACGAAUCUUUCGUAAAGGAAGUGAUGUUAGCCAAAUAAUGCUUUAAGUGUUCCUAAUACACCUUUGGAUGCAAUUAGAGGAUCAUCUGGUGCUAGCAACCCUUAGUUUGCAUAUAAUGUAUUUUGGAUUUAAAGUUUAGUAUGAGGCUAAUUUGACAAUGUUAUGGAUUUUAUGUUGUACUUGGAUUUAUAAUAGAAGUUUGAAUUAUAAAUCUUUGAACUA